rnacentral:rRNA from 1 species
GACGAACGCUGGCGGCGUGCUUAACACAUGCAAGUCGAACGGUGAAGCGCCUUCCUUUUUGGUGGGUGUGGAUGAGUGGCGAACGGGUGAGUAACACGUGAGUAACCUGCCCCCUUCUUCUGGAUAACCGCAUGAAAGUGUGGCUAAUACGGGAUAUUCUGGGUCUGUCGCAUGAUGGGUCUGGGAAAGAUAUUGUUUCGGUGGGGGAUGGGCUCGCGGCCUAUCAGCUUGUUGGUGGGGUGAUGGCCUACCAAGGCGGUGACGGGUAGCCGGCCUGAGAGGGUGGACGGUCACACUGGGACUGAGACACGGCCAAGACUCCUACGGGAGGCAGCAGUGGGGAAUAGUGCACAAUGGGCGCAAGCCUGAUGCAGCGACGCCGCGUGAGGGAUGGAGGCCUUCGGGUUGUGAACCUCUUUCGCCAGUGAAGCAGGCCUGCCUCGUUUGUGGGUGGGUUGACGGUAGCUGGAUAAGAAGCGCCGGCUAACUACGUG